rnacentral:rRNA from 1 species
ACGGGAGACACACGGCGGGUGCUAACGUCCGUCGUGAAGAGGGAAACAACCCAGACCGCCAGCUAAGGUCCCAAAGUCAUGGUUAAGUGGGAAACGAUGUGGGAAGGCCCAGACAGCCAGGAUGUUGGCUUAGAAGCAGCCAUCAUUUAAAGAAAGCGUAAUAGCUCACUGGUCGAGUCGGCCUGCGCGGAAGAUGUAACGGGGCUAAACCAUGCACCGAAGCUGCGGCAGCGACGCUGAUGCGUUGUUGGGUA